UCGCGGCCUAUCAGCUUGUUGGUGAGGUAAUGGCUCACCAAGGCGACGACGGGUAGCCGGCCUGAGAGGGUGACCGGCCACACUGGAACUGAGACACGGUCCAGACUCCUACGGGAGGCAGCAGUGGGGAAUAUUGCACAAUGGGCGCAAGCCUGAUGCAGCAACGCCGCGUGAGGGAUGAAGGCCUUCGGGUUGUAAACCUCUUUUAGCAGGGAAGAAGCGAAAGUGACGGUACCUGCAGAAAAAGCACCGGCUAACUACGUGCCAGCAGCCGCGGUAAUACGUAGGGUGCAAGCGUUGUCCGGAAUUAUUGGGCGUAAAGAGCUCGUAGGCGGUUUGUCGCGUCUGCUGUGAAAACUGGAAGCUCAACUUCCAGCCUGCAGUGGGUACGGGCAGACUAGAGUGCGGUAGGGGAGAACGGAAUUCCUGGUGUAGCGGUGGAAUGCGCAGAUAUCAGGAGGAACACCAAUGGCGAAGGCAGAUCUCUGGGCCGUAACUGACGCUGAGGAGCGAAAGCGUGGGGAGCGAACAGGAUUAGAUACCCUGGUAGUCCACGCCGUAAACGGUGGGAACUAGAUGUGGGGUCCGUUCCACGGACUCCGUGUCGCAGCUAACGCAUUAAGUUCCCCGCCUGGGGAGUACGG
rnacentral:rRNA from 1 species